AGCCCGGGCUAUUUGCCACUUGAAUGUGAAAGGAAUCUCAGACACCCCGUCCCCCUGUGGAGCGUGUUGCUGGAAGUGCUCUUCUGUUGGGUCCAUUUCUGUUGACUGACUGCACUGUCACCGAGUAUAGAACACACGAGAUGAAACGGUGGCUGAGGCGUGAUCCUGAACCUCAGGAGACUGCAGGUGGAACAUGGGAGUUACUUUCUCCUGUUUGCUCCUCAUUCUGUUGGCUGUAUGUUUGUCCCAUGUUGGUGCCAAAAGACUGGAAGAGGCGCUGGGAAUCGUUGCCGCAGGGUCUGGGGGGCAGAGAGGGCGUAGGGGAGCCUCGGGGAUGCGCUCACCAGGUGGGGCUCCUCCCUUCACUGACUGGACGGCUGCGCACGAGGUGCCGGGCACUUGCAUCAUGGCUCAGGAGACAGGUCAGACCAGGAACUUUGGGGUCUGACGGUGCUGCUGCUGGGAGGGGCGCUCGGGAGGGAUUCCCUAGGGUCUCACUGGGCCUCUGUGGGGGCAGCUGACACAGCGAUGCAGGGGGGAAGGAGGUCAGGCACAGGAGGAGCAUGUGCAAGACUGAAACAAAGCAGGGGGCGGGGGAAGGCCGGGCAGGACUCGGCGUUUUAGUUCAUCAGGAAACCUCGGGACAGAAACAAGGGAGGGCAUCUGGUACCACACGUCACGUGUCCGCUCUCCCUGGGGACUGCAGGGCGGCUCUGACAUGGCGUGUUGGCUGCGGAAACAGCAGUAUUGUCCCCCGAAGUCCCAGGUGGGGGGUGCUCCUUCUGGUCCUGUAUGCGGGCGGCUGUUCCUCGCGCUCACGGGGCCUUCUGCGGGCUCCUUUCCCAGUAGCGCCCGCUGCGCUCGGGUCCCUCAGGGAGUGGUGGUGCUGGCUGUGACGUGCUGUGCACAGGAGCAUGACAUCUGCACCUCUCUCUUCAGACCUGCACCCCACAGACAGCGCUCGGGAAGAGAGUCCCUCCGCGGGUGCAGGCACGAGACUGGAGUGGCGCCUGGGCGGGGAGUCCUCAGCGGGAGGAGCCGCACACCUGGGCCCCAGGAGCUGGCUUCCGGGGAAGGCUCCGGCGGAUGUGCAGGAGGCGGGAUGUCACACUGACCCUUCCCGGGGAGCCUGCGGGGGCCCGAGACCAGCACGCAGCCUCUCGGCCUCGGCGGCGAGGGACACUGUGCACCGCCGUCUCUGCGUGAGAAGUGCGAGGCCGUCCACACGAGGGAGCUUCCAGGGGCUUCCAAACGCCCGCCAAGGCCUGCAGCCGGAGCCCGUGGAAUGUUGACGCUCGGGACCCAAAAGGGAGCUCGGCGUUCAUGAGCCCAGGAUUCGCGCGGGCGUGCGUGUCGCUGCAUCGUCGGUAGAGACCGAGGGGACACUAUGCAGGAAGAAGCCUUCCUCAGGAAGGCAGGCAGGGCAGAGCUUAGGCCCACCUUGAACCCCCCGAGCAGAGCGAGCCUGAGAUAAGCCGCCAGCAUGGCCAAGUGCGAGGCUCAGCGACCUCGCGCCCUGUAACUGUAGUAGCCGCAGGAACUUUCUCCUCUGCGCCACGAUACCAAAUAGGAAACAUGAUCUACAAGUG